ensembl:lncRNA
CAGAUUAUUACACAUGCAGCCAGCAGCCCACCUGCAUUACUGAAUGAGUGGGUUUCACAUGUGGUUUUAAAACCCAGUCUUGAAAAGCUAAUUAAGAAGAGAAGGAACAGUGGGUCAACGGAGCUAUGCUGAUUUACACCAGAUGGAGGUCACCGGCAACUGAUGGUCCAUCUCAGAAUCUCAGGAACAUCGGAGGAUCUGGCUCUCUACAGCCAAAGCAGGAGAUCAACAGGUCUGGACUUCACUGGAUCCUUUGGUGGAACACAGGAAUAAGGUAAGUAUCAAAGUCCUGGGAAGGUGUUAGUAGCCAAAGUCUCGAUCCAAUGUUAAUAACCGAAGUCUUGAUUCAAUGACCGCAUAAAGA